rnacentral:rRNA from 1 species
UAGAUUCCUACGUACCCCGGAGUCAGGGAUAACCAUCGGAAACGGUGGCUAACACCUGAUGAUCUCGAAAGAGCAAAGUUUACGCUCUGGGAGCGGGGAAUCUCCUAUCAGCUAGUUGGUGAGGUAACGGCUCACCAAGGCUAAGACGGGUAGCGGGUGUGAGAGCACGGCCCGCCGCAUCGGGACUGAGACACUGCCCGGACUCCUAC